CGCCCGCCUCGGCCUCCCAAAGUGCUGGGAUUACAAGCGUGAGCCACCGCGCCCGGCCUCAGCUAUGCUUUUCUAACUAGACUAUCAAAGCAUACAAAAUUCAUAGCCCUCAUCAUAUCCCUAACAGUGACUUCCCUCCAGGUUGGUGAUUAUUAAAAAUCUUUGGGCUAUGCUUGUCUAACCACAGAAUUCCCAUGUAUAAUAGCAUCCAGUCCAUAGUUCUCAAUGAUAGUAGCAGAUAUUAUUGAUUACUUACUAUGUAGUCAGUACACAUGAUUUACAUUCAUUAUCUUAUUUAAACCUUUCACCAAGCCUCGGGGAUGAGGCUCUUGACACUUACUGUGAGUUCCUUUAAAUUGCAGUGCCUUUCCUGUCCCAGACAUUUGAAUCACCAUUCUGUUUUGAAGCUUGAUUGAAAACUAAAUACAUUAUGGAUUUUAUCAAAUAAAUCCUUCAUAAAACCUUCAGGUAUUUGUACCCUCUUUAAUAUCCAUUUGGUUAAUAGGAAGAGUUGUAGAAUUCACAAGAUCAAUUAGAGACUUCAUUUUUUGCUUGUGUUUUUUGAGGUUAUAUGAAACAUUUUAAAUGUGACAUGGGAGAAUAGUGAAAUAAGAGUUUCAACUUAACCAGGAUGCAUGAUUUUAAAAAUCGAAGUAGACCUGAAUUUCCUGAAAAUUUUAAAAUAAUCUAGUAGUGCCAGCAUGAACCUUAGUCACCUAGGCAAUAGAGAAGGUUUUCAUGGAAAUCCGUCUGUUUUAAAUAAAUACCUUGAAUAUUAAUAGUAUAAAAGAGCAUUAUCUAAGUAAUACUGAAGCUUAUUAUCAGCUGAAACUUUCUUGAUCAUGAUGGUUAGCCAUUUAUGCUCACACCUGUUAAUAAUGGUGAUUACUUUCAUCAGGAAAACUACCUUUAGAUGUGCAAAUAGCUUUUUCUGAGGAGCCGGCAAGAUGGCAGAAGUAGAGCAGAAGAAGAAGCGGACCUUCCGCAAGUUCACCUACCACGGCGUGGACCUGGACCAGCUGCUGCACGUGUCCUACGAGCAGCUGAUGCAGCUGUACGGUGCGCGCCAGCGGCGGCGGCUGAAUCGGGGCCUGAGGCGGAAGCAGCACUCCCCGCUGAAGCGCCUGCGCAAGGCCAAGAAGGAGGCACCGCCCAUGGAGAAGCCGGAAGCCGCCCAUGGAGAACCCGCAGCUGCGGGACAUGAUCAUCCUGCCGGAGAUGGUGGGCAGCAUGGUGGGCGUCUACAAUGGCAAGACCUUCAACCAGGUGGAGAUCAAGCCCAAGAUGAUUGGCCACUACCUGGACGAGUUCUCCAUCACCUACAAGCCCGUAAAACAUGGCCGGCCCGGCAUCGGGGCCACCCACUCCUUCCGCUUCAUCCCUCUCAAGUAGUGGCUCAGCUAAUAAAGGCGCACAUGUUUCCGAAAAAAAUAAAAAGAUAUGCAAAUAAGUGUGGUAGCUAAUAUUCUGUCUCCUUUCCUUCACACCUCAUAGAUUUUCAAUCCCCAGAUGUAUUUCCAUCUUUAGAGAAAUAAAAGGUGUGUUUCCUAAUUAUGUUAUACUUUUGCAUUAAGUUUAAUGAGUUACGUUAUAAAACUUUUUCCAUUUAUACCAGUGGGGUUAGUAAAUGGGCCUCUGGCCAGGGGCUAUUAUAGCCCCUAGGCUAUUAUCUCAUGAUCUUCCAAGUACCAGAGACGGAUCGUGUAAUGAAGGGCCUGGGGUCUGGUUCAGGACAUGCUUUCUAUUUUACAGAAGAGUUCUCAGAACAGAGUGUGCUCUGCUUUCUCUGGUUGCUCUGGGGACUUCUGUUCACUGAAAUUGUUGCCUAACAUUACUCUAAUGACUAUUGCUUAAGAGCUGAUUCUUAAGAAGGCAGGGCAUGACCUAUAGAUUUCCUCGCAGACUUGGUACAAUUCACAGGAAAUAAACAUAGGUGAAUUACUUGUCAAAAAUUACAUUGCUACUAAAUGGCAGAUCCAGGAUUUGAACCCCUAAGAUCUAUUAUAGAAAAUGUGAUAUAUUAUUUUGUGUGGUACUCUGGGGAGUGGCCAUGUUUACUUGGUAGGGACUUUGUCUCUUCUGUUUGGCCUUCAAUUUCCUAUCUAAAGUAAAUGUGCUCUAAGUGUCAGCAAAGAUAAUUGGGCUUAAUGGUGGAGCAGAAAGUUGGCCAAAUAUAGCAAAUGUCAUUAUAUGAAGGAAGAGCUCAUUAAGUCUCACUCAGCUGCCUUUCAAUAGGCAGAGGGCUUUUGGAAAGAAGGCCACCUUGUUUGGAAUUAAGUUUUAUUUUUAUCAUGGUAGUCUAUGUAUAAAGUUUAUUUCAUUUUUUA